UAGAAAACUUUGAAUCAAUCUGACUGGAUGAUCUGGUUAAAUUGUAAAGUUCCUUAGAUGAGGUGUUUUGAUUUGGUGCUAUAGAAAUAAACUGAACUGAAUUUAUGUCUGUUGUCUGAUUUUUACAGGCGUUGACUUUGGCUACGAGGGUCAGAAGCCUCUCUUCAAAAACGUGGACUUUGGCAUCGACAUGGAAUCCAGAAUCUGCAUCGUUGGACCCAAUGGCGUUGGGAAGAGUACUCUGCUGCUGCUGCUCACAGGAAAACUGAACCCUAUCAAGGGUGAGAUGAGGAAGAAUCAUCGCUUGGUGAGUCACUGAUUGAAAUG